rnacentral:lncRNA from 1 species
UAAACUUAAAUGUAUCAACUACAGCAAAAUCUGCAAUUCAGCAACUGCAAUUCAGUUCUUCCUUCAACUAUGCUACUUCAGUUCAGCUACUUCAGUUCAGCAAUUCUGAUUUCUGCACCAUUUUAUUCAGCACUCAUCAAACGUCAAUCAAUUCAGCAGCAACAUCAAACUGUCAGUUAGAACACAAACCUUAACUAUUCGUCAAGGAUUGUAACAGCUGCAACAUCAUCUCCAUCCCCUUGCAGUGGCUGAGUAGUUCCUUCUCCAUCUGUUAUACAGUUGGAAUCAGUAUAAAAUAGAAGUAGAGAUUGUUAAUAAACUAGCAAUGUAUAAACCAACUAACCAAAUGCAUCUUCAACUGUCGAAUCAUCCAUUGCCAUUGUUGAGAACACGCCUUCGAGCUGUUUCAUUUCCGCUUCAUCUACAACUACAGAAAGUACAGAAAUCAAAACGUAAUCUAAAAUAAUCAUAAACAAACAGAUUUACAUAAACAAUAAUAAUACCUGCAUGCUUAUCAUUCUGUAACCAGCUCCUGCAACACAUCAUUGCCUCGACCGUUGAAGGUUGCAGCCUACUCCGAUGGGGAUCAAGAAGCCUCCCACCAGAACUAAAGGCUGACUCCGAUGCAACAGAGGUUACCGGUACCGCUAGUAAAUCCCUUGCAAUGCAUUGCAAAAUGGGAUACUUCACACCAUCAAUUUUCCACCACCCAAGCAAAUCAAAAUCAGGUGUCCUAGGAUGUAGUUCCUCAGCUAGAUAGUGUUCCAAUUCAGUGGUUACUAAAGAAGGUCUAGAUUUCUUUCUUUGGCUUACAAACAGAUCAAAAUCCAUAUCCAUGGCAGAAGAAUUUGGAACCAAAUUGGUUGAAGAACCAAUGUUAUGGGCUGAUUUUCUUUGAUACUCAAGUACCAAUUCAGAAACUACAGAUUUCACCCUUUCACCAACCAGAUCAGUAUUGGGACUCCCAAAUUUAGCAGCAUAAAAUUCUACCAAUGCCAACUUAAACCUCGGAUCCAAGACAGUAGCAACAGCCAAAAGCAAAUGAAUGUCAUCCCAAUACUUAGCAAACUUAUUCCACAUUUUCUCAGCCAUCGAAACAAUCAUCGAAUCAGAAUCAUCCAACCAUUCCAUCAUGCUCAAUCUUAAUUUACAGACUUCUGGAAAAAACUGAUUGGCAGUAGGGUAUUUAGAACCAGACAGAACCUCUGUAAUCUCUUUGAAAACAACAAGUUUUUUACAUACAAUUACAGCAAAAUCCCAAUGAUUAUCCGUAGGGAGAGAGUUGUACUGAGAUUCUCUUUGUUUCAAUCUAGCAAACACAUCCUUAUAUGGGAUAGCAGCAGAAAGCAUGUUGUACGUAGAGUUCCAACGAGUGGGACAGUCAAGCACAAGUUUGGUUGACACAUUAAGUUUCAAUUGUUGAGCAGUCUCGUGAAAGUAUUCAACUCUCCUAGGUGUGCAUGUCCAAAAUACCACACUCUCUCUUAUCUUUUCAAUCCCAUCUUUCAGAACGUCCAGUCCAUCCCUCACAAUCAGAUUAAGGAUAUGGGCAGAACACCUCAUAUGCAAAAGAGCACCAUCCUUAAUAAGAUUGGAAAGGAGAAGCCUCUGUCUCACUAGACUGAUCAUGGAAUCAUUGGUAGUACAAUUAUCAAGCGUAAUCGUUGACAAAGUACUAUCAAUGUUCCAAUCAAGAAGACAUUGAGAGAGUCUUCCAGCCAAUCUCUCACUAGUGUGAGGGGCAGGAACGUAUAGAAAUCUAAUUAAAUGACUUCUAAGCUCCCAAUUGUUGUCUAUGUAGUGGGCAGUCACAGCCAUGUAACCCCUUUUCUGAUUUGUGGCAGUCCACAUAUCAGUGGUUACAGCUAUUCUCCCUUUGUUUUCAUCUAUGACUCGUUGAAUUUUCGACCUCUCAUCCCCAUAACGAGUAAUGAUGUCCUUCUUAAUCGUAUUCCUAGUUGGGACUUUAAAGAGAGGGUUUAGGGUACAGCAGAACCUUUUGAAGUAGAGGUGGUCAACCAUUGAAAGAGGAUACUCAUGCAUCAAGAUCAUAAUGCAGAGUUCAUUCUUACAAACCUCAUUGCUAAACUGAUUGGCACUCAACUCACUAUUACCCUUAGCUUUGUAGUUAGGGCCUAGGAUUCUCUGACUACCAUCAUGGAUUUGUUUGUGAACGCAACGAUUCCUAUGAGUUCUUAAAUGGGAAGUACCAUUAGUGGACUUCCCAGCCAAAACCUUCUUACAAUAGUUGCAUUUGGCUUUUAAAAUUCCAUGAAUGAACAUUCUGGUGAAGUGAGGCCAGACAUCUGAUUUUAAGGGCCUAGUUGAGCCUAAGGGAGGAUCGACAACAUUAUUUGCAUGUUGGUUUUCAGGAUUAGCAAGGGAAAGGAGUGGUGGUGGACCAUUAUUAUUCUCAACUGGUAUAUUCGAGAGUUGUUCAGGUGUCAUCUGAUUGAGAAAAUAAGAACACAAAACAAAAAAAGGAGAAAAUAGUUUAACAAUUACAUUCAUUGAAGAAAGCUAGACAAUUACUAUUAGAAAGUAGACCGUUUAGCAGUUUAUUAAGGGCUUACUUAACAGUUUAGUAAUGCUUAACAGUUUAUUAAGGGUUUAACAAAUUUAGUUAUAGAGUUUAGGGUUUACGAGUUCAGUUGAGGGUUUAAUAGUUUAUUAAGGGCUUACUUAACAGUUUAGUAAUGCUUAACAGUUUAUUAAGGGUUUAACAAAUUUAGUUAUAGAGUUUAGGGUUUACGAGUUCAGUUGAGGGUUUAAUAGUUUAUUAAGGGCUUACUUAACAGUUUAGUAAUGCUUAACAGUUUAUUAAGGGUUUAACAAAUUUAGUUAUAGAGUUUAGGGUUUACGAGUUCAGUUGAGGGUUUAAUAGUUUAUUAAGGGCUUACUUAACAGUUUAGUAAUGCUUAACAGUUUAUUAAGGGUUUAACAAAUUUAGUUAUAGAGUUUAGGGUUUACGAGUUCAGUUGAGGGUUUAAUAGUUUAUUAAGGGCUUACUUAACAGUUUAGUAAUGCUUAACAGUUUAUUAAGGGUUUAACAAAUUUAGUUAUAGAGUUUAGGGUUUACGAGUUCAGUUGAGGGUUUAAUAGUUUAUUAAGGGCUUACUUAACAGUUUAGUAAUGCUUAACAGUUUAUUAAGGGUUUAACAAAUUUAGUUAUAGAGUUUAGGGUUUACGAGUUCAGUUGAGGGUUUAGCAGUUUAUUAAGGGCUUACUUAAAAGUUUAGUAAUGCUUAACAGUUUAUUAAGGGUUUAACAAAUUUAGUUAUAGAGUUUAGGGUUUACGAGUUCAGUUGAGGGUUUAGCAGUUUAUUAAGGGCUUACUUAAAAGUUUAGUAAUGCUUAACAGUUUAUUAAGGGUUUAACAAAUUUAGUUAUAGAGUUUAGGGUUUACGAGUUCAGUUGAGGGUUUAGCAGUUUAUUAAGGGCUUACUUAAAAGUUUAGUAAUGCUUAACAGUUUAUUAAGGGUUUAACAAAUUUAGUUAUAGAGUUUAGGGUUUACGAGUUCAGUUGAGGGUUUAGCAGUUUAUUAAGGGCUUACUUAAAAGUUUAGUAAUGCUUAACAGUUUAUUAAGGGUUUAACAAAUUUAGUUAUAGAGUUUAGGGUUUACGAGUUCAGUUGAGGGUUUAGCAGUUUAUUAAGGGCUUACUUAAAAGUUUAGUAAUGCUUAACAGUUUAUUAAGGGUUUAACAAAUUUAGUUAUAGAGUUUAGGGUUUACGAGUUCAGUUGAGGGUUUAGCAGUUUAUUAAGGGCUUACUUAAAAGUUUAGUAAUGCUUAACAGUUUAUUAAGGGUUUAACAAAUUUAGUUAUAGAGUUUAGGGUUUACGAGUUCAGUUGAGGGUUUAAUAGUUUACUAUCAGAAUUCAUAAAGAAGAUAGAUUAUUAAGGGUACUAUUAGAAAGUAGACAGCCUAUUAAGGGGUUAACUUUAACAGUUUAUAAGGGUUUAACAAUUAGGUAGAGAGUUCAUGGGUUAUGAGUUCAAUUGAAGACAGUAUAAACUUGGUUCAGGCUGUUAACAAUCUAACAUAACACUUCUAAGUUCUAAACAAGUUCUAAAACUCUCAAAUGUUAUACCAUUACACAAUGUAAGCUUACCUCAGCAGUUGCAGAAACAGAUUGUUGUCUUGCCUCCUGAACAACGAUUUCAAAGUUCCACCCUGCCUCCUAAUUAGC